CAAUGUUGCAAAUCUAGAAUUUUGAAGACUUGAAGUAUUGGCCUAUUUUACCUGCAGCAUUCUCCUCUUUUGAAAUCCAUAUAGUUCAGCGUCCUCUUCCCGUUGACGGAAAUUCAGUGCACCCAAGAGUCAAGAAGGAUUAUAUUACCAGAUUCAUCCUGAUUAUUUCCCCCUCUCUGGAGUUUCUAGGUUGCAUCUAAAAUCAAAAUGGGGGGUUUAAUAAUGGAUGGUUUAUGAUUCAUUACGCUGUUUCUCAUGACAUUGAGAAAGUCCUGGUCAAUUUAUUCAUGGCGGUGAAGAAGGACUACCCCACUCUUUUAGUUUACCAAUCAAAAUGGAAGUCUGAGCUCCAAUUUUGUAAGGAUUGUUUAACAGAAAUGAUGGGCACGCAAUGGUUUGAAGCUCGUGUAUUUGUAAUUCAGUCGCUAAAGCAGAAGGGUCUUUGUAGAGAUUCUCAGAAUAGCAAGGUGCGUCUUGGUGUUUGUUCAAGGCCUAACAAUGUUGGGGAAACAAUGGUGGAACCACAAUGGUUUUGACUUUUGAUGAUUGCGAUGGUAUGGCAAAGUAAGCUCUUGAUGCUGUUGUGACUGAAAACUGUAAAAAGUUUGAGAUCGUUCUUCAGUAGAAUACUGCUGAGUGGAAAAGAUGGUUGGAGAAAGUUCUGAGAGUGGUGAAUUUUCAAGGCAAGCAUGGUGGGGCUACGGCUUUCCAGCAUGGUAUGUUAUGUUAGAGGAUUCCAAAUUGAAUAGAAUACACUAAGCAGUAGGUGAUGGGGAAAAGCAAGGAGGAAGCUCUAUCUUCUGAGGCUCAUAGAAUCUUUGGUGGGAAGAAAUUUCAGAUGACCGAUGCAUCAGUCACAUGGUUUUCUUCUGGACUAUUUCUGUUAUCUGUGAUGGGUUUGCCAGAUGAUAAAGCUAAUUCGUAGAGCAUUUCGUUCUACAUCAUUUCUUGAACCUAGACGUCACAUUUGUUUCUUUUGGGUAGCACACAUGGUUAUGCUGGGAAAGUAAUUCGGCGGUGACUUUCAGAAGGACUUAUGUCGUGACUCACAGCUGCAAAGUAUUCAAAUCUUUGGGAUAUGUGAGUGAUCCGCAUGAAAUAAUGCUCUCCUUAGAAAAUCUUCACAAAAAAUUGGAGGCGGUAACCUGGAUACGAAGGAUCUAAGUGUUGAGAAGGGAGUGCAAAAGACUUUUCAAAUGAUACUGCUGAAUGGGUUGCAGGUGCUCUUCGGUCUGCCCUUAUUGCAUAUACAGCUCAGUCUGAUAAGAUAAAUCCAAAGAGUUGUAGGUCACCGACAACAUUGCAACAAACUAUGGGACUCCAUUCUUUCUGGGAUGACCCAAGUUUGGUGGCAGCUAUGUGCCUCUAUGGAGUCUAAAGCUGAAUUUUCUGCAUUUCAGCUGCAAGUGGAUACAUUCUGUCUUGAAGAAAGCCAUACCGUAGGCGUAGACUGUCAGAUCACUUCAAUCUAUGAGUUUCUGGUGCAUCCACUGUAGUAUAAUCAUGGUGGCAAUUCCAACUAUGUGACAUAUUCAUGGAAGCAAUUAAACCCUACUUUUGUGGGGGAUGAUUCAGAAUUCCGGUCAUAGAAGGAGUGUUGCACGUGAUUCUCUGUGGAUUUUUUCGGACAACUAUUUAUAGUAGCUCCAUCUAUAUAUUCCGUAGUUUAAUUAAGAACUGUGGUAACAUCUUCUUUAAGCAACUGGGAACUGCACCAAGAUGGGUAGAUGAUCUCUGAGUACUCAACACUUCUAAGGGGGUGGAUAGUAAUGAAGUGACUGUGAAUGAGAUGGGUCUGGUUGAAAAACGUGCGAAGUCGUUUAUCCAGAAUUACCUCCUAAUGAAAGGCUUGGAAAAAAACAGCUUUUGCGGUUUGCUGGAGUGAUGUUAGAAGGAAUACAUUUAAAAAUUGGAGGUAUAAACUCUUGGUUCUUUAUCAUCUUUUGAGCUAAUCUGAGAAUUAUGCUAAGCUUGCCAUGUGAUAUUAAUGUUCCGAUCAAGGACAAGCCCUUCAUAGUAUGCAUCCUAUAUUCAGUUCUUCUUGACAAGUGAUCCAGAUGAAUGGUAAGCAGUCAGCUGUUGCAUAUGACAAUAAAGAGUCAGCCGUUGCAAGCAAAGCAGUCCCUGUUUCAUAUUACCGUCAUUUUGGAUGGUUGCUUUUCUUGGCACUUCGAGCCCACGCGGUUAGCCGCUUCAAGGAUCCUGUGACUUGUACUAAUGGAUUGGUACCAAUAUUGGUUAGUUCUCUACUCAUAUUACCCGAUAUUUGAUAAAGGUACUGUUACAGCUUAGUGUUGAUCAAAAAUGUUAAUUGUUACAAAAUGAGAUUUCACCAUGCACUGAGGUUUUCAUCUCA